rnacentral:rRNA from 1 species
UACGUAGGGGGCAAGCGUUGUCCGGAGUUACUGGGCGUAAAGCGCACGCAGGCGGUCUCUUAAGUUUGGAGUGACAGUUGGUGGCUUAACUGCCAAAGUGCUUCGAAAACUGAGAGACUUGAGGGCUUCAGAGGGACACGGAAUUCCGGGUGGAGUGGUGAAAUGCGUAGAGAUCCGGAGGAACACCAAAGGCGAAGGCAGUGUCCUGGGGAGUACCUGACGCUCAGGUGCGAAAGCGUGGGGAGCGAUCCGG